UUCAGAGAUAUUCCAGUAAUAGCAUUUUAUUGGAGGUUGUUUUACUUUUGUAAUUUUGCCAUUUUAUCUAUGAGAAAGUCUAAUUUUCAGUAAAUAAUCAUUAAAAUGAUGUUCCUUCUGUCUUUCCUUAAACUGCUGAUUCAUCCCCAUAUUUGAUAAGAGUCUGGGUAUGAAUCACACAAUAAAUGGCCAGCAAACUGCUGGGAGCUGUGGCUGAUGAGAAGCACUGCCCUGGCCUAGAGUUUCCUCAAGCAAGAAGAGAAUUUUCCACCCAAAUCACGGGGGGAAGAGAAAUAGAAAUCUAAAAUUAGCCUGGUUUUCAGGCCUGGAUCUUUUCCAAGAUGUUCAUACUGGAGCCCAACCUUCUCUAAGCCAACGGGGCUGAGUUCUCAGCAUGGAACGAUGGAAAUGGUGUUGGAGCAUUUGACACAUUUCUGCUCCAUGGACUACCAGUCCUCUCAGAUGGUAAAUUUACAUUCUUUAUCGAAUUGUAGGGUUUUGAAAUGUUCUAUAUAGCUGUGUUUAAGCUGUCAUUGUGGACAGUUGUGGCAGAACAAUAGAAAAUUUGUCUUGGUGGGUUCUCAGUGGAUGAUGAGGGAUGUGUGCUUUCCCAUCUGAAAUUGGUGGAUAAAGAGAUUGAGGUGGAAGCAGUUACUUAAAAAAACAGCUACCAUAAAUUUUACCCUUUUGUAGUUACUACAAAACAGCCUGCAGAAGUGGUACAUGUGAAAGCCAUGUGCUGAAGAAUUUCAGCAACAGCCAAGACUGAACAUGUGAACUUUAUGUGGGAACUUGAAUUACAUUUUACAUUGCAAUGUUGAGGAAGAAUAGUACCUGAUAAUAAGUAGAGCACAAUUUCUGUCUUUAGUUUUUAGUUCUGUCACUUAGUCACUGUGUAACCUUGGGUAAAUCAUUGAAGAUGACAUCUGCAGAAGGAUCCAGCAAUGCUGCCUUUCAUCCUGGAGACACCUACAAUACAAUCCAAGAAAUGUCUCUUUUUUUCUGCCUGAAAGAGUCUCAGAUCUAAAAACCUGAGGUUUGCACAUUUAAAACUUCCUGAAAAGAUUGGAUGUCAAAGAGGCAGGUCCCAGCUCCCCUUG
rnacentral:lncRNA from 1 species